rnacentral:rRNA from 1 species
UCCGAGUGUUUCCUGCUUAAGGAAUCUUUUGUUAGUUGUAAAACCACUAUCGAAUAAGGGGUGGGCAAGUUCUGGUGUCAGCCGCCGCGGUAAAACCAGCACCUCAAGUGGUCAGGAGGAUUAUUGGGCCUAAAGCAUCCGUAGCCUGUUCUAUAAGUUUCCGGUUAAAUCCGCUAGCUCAACUAGUGGGCUGCCGAAAAUACUGUAGAACUAGGGAGUGGGAGAGGUAGACGGUAUUCGGUAGGAAGGGGUAAAAUCCUUUGAUCUAUUGAGGACCACCUGUGGCGAAGGCGGUCUACCAGAACACGUUCGACGGUGAGGGAUGAAAGCUGGGGGAGCAAACCGGAUUAGAUACCCGGGUAGUCCCAGCUGUAAACGAUGCAGACUCGGUGAUGCGCUGGCUUGUGGCCAGUGCAGUGCCGCAGGGAAGCCGUUAAGUUUGCCGCCCGGGAAGUACGUACGCAAGUAUGAAACUUAAAGGAAUUGGCGGGGGAGCACCACAAGGGGUGAAGCCUGCGGUUCAAUUGGAGUCAACGCCAGAAAUCUUACCCGAGGAGACAGCAGAAUGAAGGUCAAGCUGGAGACUUUACCAGACAAGCUGAGAAGUGGUGCAUGGCCGUCGCCAGCUCGUGCCGUGAGAUGUCCUGUUAAGUCA